AGACCAAAGGCCAAGACUGAUGUCAGCUUGAAAGAAACUACUCUGUGUAUUGGAUUUGCAAGAUAAAAGAUGAUGAAUUAAAGCACCAGUUUCAAGUCCAAAGAUCAAAAAGCACCAUUUAGGUCAAGGUCAACUCCAAAUAUUGGUUAAAACCUAAUUUAUACCAACAUCUGAAUCCAGAAGAGGGCAGUCUUGAUAGGACGCCCAUAAAAGAGCUAAACAGAGCUUGGCAAUAAAUGACACCUCUACCAGUUGCAGAAUCACCGCUCAUGUAUUGAGAGUAUUUUUUGUUUGGCCUACACAGAUGUUGAGAUGUGUAAAGAAAGAGAUCUUCACUGAAUUAUUUUUACAUAGAAAUGAUAGAAUUUAAUCUUCUCAGAUUAAGCUGUAAGCUCAAGAGAGCUUUUCUGAUCAUCCAUUGUGCAGCAUCUGUUUGUCUAUAAACUGUAAUCAUUUCAGACUUCUUCUUGAGAACCACUGGUUCCCCCUUCCAAGAGGAGAUUAUCAAGAAGGGCAAAAAUGGGUUGGGGGAAGGGAUUAUUUAAAAAUCUUUGGAAGAACCUCUUGGCCAAAUAGAUGAAAGGUUUAUGACAAAGGAUAGUGUGAAUUCUAAAUUUUUCAAAUUGUGGCGACCAUGGGUAGGCUACAAUUGAUCAUUGAUUAAUGAAGUUAAGAGAGUCUUACACGUGUUCGUGCUUUCAAUCACAUUUUGCUUUCGCACAGCUUCCUCCAUGGUUAAAUUUUCAAAUGUGGAGAACCCUGGGUAGUGUAGGUCCAAGAUGGGGAUCUAACUUCAACAUGGAAAUAUACAGGAAUUUAAAGUUUUUUGAUGUAGCAUAGAUUUUAAAUUGAUCAUUAAAUCAAAGCACAAAGGGGUAUGUUGGGACUAAAAUAGAAGGUCAGUUUUACAUAGUAAUUGAUUAGUCGAGCAUCCUCAGGGUAGUGCAAAAUUAACUUCGCUUGAAUCUUGACCCUUAGGGUGGAAUCAUAAUGGGGGAUCCAAGUUUUGCUGGGGAAUAAAGAAAAAAAUCUUGAACAAUAUUCUUUUCAAGAACAGUAGGGCCAAGACUUAUCAUGAUGCAUUUGGCCAAGUGUAAAAACUAUACAGGGGCUAAUUGUUUUCAUAAGAAUGAAGAAAUAAUUUUUUUUUGAUUUAAAAUAUUCUGAAGAAAACAGGACCAAAGUAACUCAGUUGAGCUAUGUGGCUCAUGUUUCUUUGUUUAUUGUGUAUGUGUAUAGAGUGUUGUUUUGUUUCUCAGACAAAUACUGUGUAGUAUAAAAAAAACUUUUAUUCUUGCAUUUUAGUAUUGUUUUUAAUAUCUUUAAAGGUCCUUGAUACAAGAAAGCAUUAAAUUAGAGUACUAUUUGUCUGUGUUAUAGAUAAUAUGCAUUUUACAUCUUGUAAUACAACAUUUUACUUUUUCGGU